UACGUAGGGUGCGAGCGUUGUCCGGAAUUAUUGGGCGUAAAGAGCUCGUAGGCGGUGUGUCGCGUCGGCCGUGAAAACCUGGGGCUCAACUCUGGGCGUGCGGUCGAUACGGGCAUCACUGGAGUUCGGCAGGGGAGACUGGAAUUCCUGGUGUAGCGGUGAAAUGCGCAGAUAUCAGGAGGAACACCGGUGGCGAAGGCGGGUCUCUGGGCAACAACUGACGCUGAGGAGCGAAAGCGUGGGGAGCGAACAGG
rnacentral:rRNA from 1 species